rnacentral:rRNA from 1 species
UACGUAGGGUGCGAGCGUUGUCCGGAAUUAUUGGGCGUAAAGAGCUCGUAGGCGGCCUGUCGCGUCGGUUGUGAAAGCCCGGGGCUUAACCCCGGGUCUGCAGUCGAUACGGGCAGGCUAGAGUUCGGUAGGGGAGAUCGGAAUUCCUGGUGUAGCGGUGAAAUGCGCAGAUAUCAGGAGGAACACCGAUGGCGAAGGCAGGUCUCUGGGCCACUACUGACGCUGAGAAGCGAAAGCAUGGGGAGCGAACAGG